CAUCCACUCCUCACUCAUACCUGGUGAUGGCAAGCUACGUGUGUAGCCACAGCUGACCUGGGGCAGGCUGAUGGAGACAAGGCUGCCAGUCCACGCCUACGGCCUCUCCGACCAUCACCAAAAUUGAUACACAUU